rnacentral:rRNA from 1 species
GACGAACGCUGGCGGCGUGCCUAAUACAUGCAAGUAGAACGCUGAAGAGAGGAGCUUGCUCUUCUUGGAUGAGUUGCGAACGGGUGAGUAACGCGUAGGUAACCUGCCUUGUAGCGGGGGAUAACUAUUGGAAACGAUAGCUAAUACCGCAUAACAAUGGAUGACACAUGUCAUUUAUUUGAAAGGGGCAAUUGCUCCACUACAAGAUGGACCUGCGUUGUAUUAGCUAGUAGGUGAGGUAAUGGCUCACCUAGGCGACGAUACAUAGCCGACCUGAGAGGGUGAUCGGCCACACUGGGACUGAGACACGGCCCAGACUCCUACGGGAGGCAGCAGUAGGGAAUCGUCGGCAAUAGGGGCAACCCUGACCGAGCAACGCCGCGUGAGUGAAGAAGGUUUUCGGAUCGGAAAGCUCUGUUGUAAGUCAAGAACGGGUGUGAGAGUGGAAAGUUCACACUGUGACGGUAGCUUACCAGAAAGGGACGGCUAACUACGUG